CCCUUAGAUGUUCUGGGCUGCACGCGCGCUACACUGAUGCGCUCAACGAGUUUUAACCUUGCCUGGAAAGGUUGGGUAAUCUUUUUAAAACGCAUCGUGAUGGGGAUAGAUUAUUGCAAUUAUUAAUCUUCAACGAGGAAUUCCUAGUAAGCGCGAGUCAUCAGCUCGUGCUGAUUACGUCCCUGCCCUUUGUACACACCGCCCGUCGCUCCUACCGAUUGAGUGGUCCGGUGAGGCUUUGGGAUCUGGGCGGAAAGAGCGUUUCGCUGUUUCUGCCCGGAAAACUCAGUCGAACCUUAUCAUUUAGAGGAAGGAGAAGUCGUAACA
rnacentral:rRNA from 1 species